CAUAUAGUUCUUAUGGUUUGCACUAUUGUCUCAGGUGGCCGGUCCAUGUUCCAGUUAACAAAAUGAUUUAACAUGUAUCAUGAUAAAACCAACAAUAACAAUUCAUAUUAGAACAUGAACAUAAAUCAUAAGUAACAUUAACCCAAAAACCAGGUAGAGUAAUAGCAAAACUACCCAAUAAUUCAUUUGUAUGCAAGGUGUGGGGUGAACAAUGCUAGGUAACCUAGUAGGUCUUAUCAAAUUAACCUAAGCAUGUCACAGUGAUUAACAUGGACAUUAUUAGGUAACAGAAUGUGAUCAAGGGCACAACUUGCCUUCUGCGAGCUCUUGCUCAGAAUCUUCAACUUGCGGUGCUUUGGGUUCCUCGGUCACUUGCUCGUCUACUCGCAACAACACAAACAACCAAUAUGAAGAAAAAGUAACAUCACACCGAGCAAUAAAACAUUUGCAUAAUAAUAUUCUACGCGUCGCAAUAAAUCCGUAGUUUCGUGAACUACUAAAUUUAGAGUUAGAAUGUAGGAUAUAUGGUUUUUUCUAAGUUCACUGAUUUAUUUUUUACUGAAAAUCAAUUUAUGCAUUUAUUCUUUUAUUCCAUAGAUUAAUUGGUUCGUGGCUUUUAUUUCUUGGAAAGUCAGGGGCUAAGCGGCAAGAUUUGGGACCCGCCUGCAGUUAUUUUCGACCUACCCCGAUUCCCCGAAAUGGAAGGGUCCCUUCUAGUAAAGUUGUAUAGCUGACAUCGCGCGUGGCGUCCUGACCGUUGGAUUGACAACCAACGGUCAAUAUUAGAUCAAACAUAUCAUGAACUGGUAUCCCUUUUUUAAUCGCAGCCUCAGAUCACGAUCCGUAAGUCAGGAACCCUCCAUCGCUUCCCACUACCCGAUCCGAGUCGUAUGACCAAGAUUUAAUUGACGUGAAAAGGUAUUAUGAUCCUAGCCACACGUUCAUUGAUUAACGACCUACGCAUCAUCUUCCUCUCCACAAAGCUCAUCCGGCAUCGCAGUGCCCAUCCACAUGGUGGCACCACACCGGUAAGGGCCUAACCUUGCUCUAGUGUACUAAACUAUACCACGUUUGGUGCUAGAUGGGGAAGAGGUCAUGAGAUACAACAUGAUAGACUUCAUACCUGAUAGACAUUUGGAUCUCCCCAAGAACCAUAACCACUAGAUCAAAUGUACAAAACAGAUUGUACCUCUAUUUAGAUUUGAUGCCAUCACGUUCGUUGGUGAAGUUCUGCGCUAAGGCAGCGACGGUCGAGGAAGCGAGCUCGUAUGUGGUGAGCUUCCCGUUGCUACAACCUCCCUCUAGAUCGGUCUAGGGUUUGAGGUGGGGAACUAAAGAUGUGUCUACGAACCUCAUGUUUAGCCAUCAACCCCCACCUCUCUAUUUAUAGGUUGUGCAAUAGGGCCCCACCAACCUCGUCUUGGGAUGGACGCAUCCGAUCAGGGAGUGAGGUCAAGGGGCCAGUUCGCCGUUGGACCAACUGGCGGAGAUCAAUUCCAACAUUCUCUCCCUUGAUCUCAUCUUAUACUUUCAACUUUAUACUUUUAAUUAUUUUCGUAUCCCAUCACAGAUUGGUGCAUAGAGCAUGCUUCGUCAUCACGGUUAAUCACUGAUAGACUUAACAGCUACAAUACACGUCUUUGUUCUAAAAUAGAUCCAUUGACUUUUGGCCCUUUAAUUGUCCGGAAAACAUAGGCUAUACCAUAAACCCAUGUCGACUGUGUGUUCUCUGAACGCACUGGGUGGCAAGCCUUUAGUAAGCGGAUCCACCAACACUUGUCUGUUACUUAUAUGUUCAAUACUUUUAAUAUGAUUUUGGACUUUCUCCUUUACAACACAUAACUUUGUGUCAAUGUGUUUGGCAGCACACUUGACUCGUCGCCAUAGGAGUGAACUAUUUGAAUGGUUACUGUUGUUGUCAACCAUUAUCAAUUUCGGAGCGAGAGACACUUCAUCGAGACCAAUUUCAUUUGAUCUUUAUGACAAGAACUUUUCACCAAUAGAUUGACAUCACUACUGCCAAGUGAGCGAGGGCCUCCAUGGCUUCUUCAAAUGAGGUGGGAUUGCCCUCCAUAUUAUAGACUUUGUAGUUUCUGAUUUCCUUUUCUUUAAGACCAUUUAGGCCUUAGCUAUUGACACUUCUUUCAUAUGGAACUAUUGUUGAUAUUUAUUGCUAAGAAGCAAAUGAGUUCUAUAGUCUCCUGUAUCAUAGGAUCCUUGUUUACUUUUUAUUUUAGGGACCAACAACAUGUGUUGUAUCAGUCAUAUAACGUCAACAUGUAUUGAGCAAUUUGUCGUUCUUGAAUCAUUAGAGUAGGAACAUAAUCCCACUU